rnacentral:lncRNA from 1 species
CCUUACAUCUCAUCUGUAUGCCAUACCAGUGUCUCCACACUCUUUGGUUAAGAAGACAACUAACCCAUAUGGCCUACAGCGACCUAUGCUCGAUAGAAGCUGUCGUCCUUAUUAACAGCCUAUCAUUUGGUCGUGAACAGUUUUAAGGACUAAUCGAUAAAUCCUCUCUUUAUCGAAUCUAAAUAGUCCUAAAGACUUCAUCAUAACAACGGAGUUCAUUAGAAGAUGAAAGCUUAUGAUGAAAAUGCCAAAUAUAUUUUAUUUAUUAACAAAUCAAUUACAAUACUUGGUUGCUCAACCG